AUACCCUGUGUGGAUGACGGUACCGGAACAAGAAGCACCGGCUAACUACGUGCCAGCAGCCGCGGUAAUACGUAGGGUGCGAGCGUUAAUCGGAAUUACUGGGCGUAAAGCGUGCGCAGGCGGUUUGGUAAGACAGGCGUGAAAUCCCCGGGCUUAACCUGGGAACUGCGCUUGUGACUGCCAGGCUAGAGUACGGCAGAGGGGGGUGGAAUUCCACGUGUAGCAGUGAAAUGCGUAGAGAUGUGGAGGAACACCAAUGGCGAAGGCAGCCCCCUGGGUCGAUACUGACGCUCAUGCACGAAAGCGUGGGUAGCAAACAGGAUUAGAUACCCUGGUAGUCCACGCCCUAAACGAUGUCAACUAGGUGUUGGGUGGGUAAAACCAUUUAGUACCGUAGCUAACGCGUGAAGUUGACCGCCUGGGGAGUACGGCCGCAAGGUUAAAACUCAAAGGAAUUGACGGGGACCCGCACAAGCGGUGGAUGAUGUGGAUUAAUUCGAUGCAACGCGAAAAACCUUACCUACCCUUGACAUGCCAGGAACUUGCCAG
rnacentral:rRNA from 1 species